rfam:Ricinus communis cultivar Hale ctg_1100012355280, whole genome shotgun sequence.
GGGUGCGAUCAUACCAGCACUAAUACACCGGAUCCUAUCAGAACUACGAAGUUAAACGUGCUUGGGCGAGAGUAGUACUAAGACGGGUGACCUCUUGGGAAGUCCUCGUGUUGCACCCC